AUUGAACGCUGGCGGCAGGCCUAACACAUGCAAGUCGAACGAGUGGCGGACGGGUGAGUAAUGUCUGGGAAACUGCCCGAUGGAGGGGGAUAAAUACUGGAAACGGUAGCUAAUACCGCAUCCCAUCGGAUGUGCCCAGAUGGGAUUAGCUAGUAGGUGGGGUAACGGCUCAACUCGGCGACGAUCCCUAGCUGGUCUGAGAGGAAGACCAGCCACACUGGAACUGAGACACGGGCCAGACUCCGACGGUAGGCAGCAGUGGGGAAUAUUGCACAAGGGGCGCAAGCCGGAUGCAGCCAUGCCGCGUGUAUGAAGAAGGCCUUCGGGUUGUAAAGUACUUUCAGCGAGGAGGCGUUACUCGCAGAAGAAGCACCGGCUAACUCCGGGCCAGCCGCCGCGGUAAUUC
rnacentral:rRNA from 1 species